ensembl:lncRNA
GUUGGGACAUCUGUCCCAGGUAGGCUUUUGUGCACCUCCUCACUGGCAGAGCAUGAGAGACACACAAAAAAGUCCUUGACUUAGGGUAAAUAACAGAGCAAAACCAAAACAUCAGUGUGUAAACCAACACCAUUCCCACUCCAAAUCCCAAACUGUACCAGCUAUUGAGAAGAAAUUAAUAGUAUUCACCUCACUUCCCAUGUAUCCCCAACUUUAUCAAAACGUUUGUCUAGAACAGCUGAGAAGAGUAGGAGCAAAAACCAUUGGGCAUUUUAACAAAAUAUCCUUCUUUGCAGCUGUUCCUCUGGUUUUAGGUGUAAUCACUGAACAUGCUUUGUUAGAGCACAGAGACUGAAGAUGUAAUGAAGACAGUGCUGUGAGGAGCAGGAAGAUGUGCUGGUUUCUGAAACUACAAGUUCUGUUUGUGGUCUAAUUUCAUGAGAAUGCUGCCACUGUACAACUUCUUGCUACUCAAAGCAGAGCCAGUUUGUUAUGAAGAAUUUGGAAGCUUUAACACCUUUUUUGUGCAUACUUAGGUAAUUGUUUUAUCUGGAAAGCACCAGCUCAACAAAGAUGACAUCAUUUUGCUGUCAGAGGGCAGAUUCUUCCGCCUUGCUGAUCAUGGGAGAGAUGAGGGGUUGAUUGGAAUAUCCAUAAAGAAUCAGAGCACUGCUGAUGUGAAGAACUAUUCUCUGGAAAUUGAAUUAAGAGCCUUUGAAGAUAUUUGGCUAGGCCUGACAGGAACUGCUGCUUCCUCAUCUGUCCAGAGCCAAAUCCUGGUGGAGGGGAUUAUUGAUCAGAAAGAGAAAGUAAAAGUAGCUGCUUCAAAAGGAAAGGAGUGCUUUCAGUACUACAUGGGGUAUCUGCAAGGGGAUUUGGAAGAAGGAGUGGAAGUCAGUGCUUGUUCUGAUGGGAAGCAGAUGGCUGCCAUUAAUACCUAUCUCAGCAUCAAUGGUAAAAGGCAGGAAAACGUGGGACAAGUAACUCUAGCAGCUGCUAAUGGAAGCUUGAGUUUUCUGGCCCAUGGAUGUGGGGAGCCGGUUCUUAAGGCUGAGAACAAACUUAAUGAAAUUGGGAGCCUUUUGAAAGCCACACUGAAUGAGAAGAUAAAGAAGUUUGAUGGAUACCUGUGGAGAUUCAGGAGAUCAGUGCAGCGUGUUGUUUUCCUGUCUGAAGCAGCUGGCUGGCCUUCAAUGGCUUUGCAAAGGGCAGCAGGAUUCCUGCAAAAUGGGGCUACAGCUGUCACCCAGAUGUGGAAGCAAAGUGGAAUUGGGCACAUUCUGAGAAGCAAGAUUCCACUUUACCUGGAGAAAAUUCAAGAUGUUGUCCAGCAAAUGCAGAAUGAAUUACAAAGGCCAUUAGCAACUUUGAAAGAUGCUUACUACGAUGUAACCUUGAAGCCACUGGAUGAAGUCUGGAAAGAGAAGACAGAAGAGCACAUGAAGAAAAUCCUGGCUUUCUUACCCAAGAUUGUAAAAGAUGUGUGGCUAAUGGAACCAAUUCAGAUGGCAUUACAGGUUGUGAAAGCAGGCUUGGAUAUGGCUACCCAGCAGAUGCUCAGGUGGGCAGAGGCCACGUUUUCCAGAGCUGUGAGCAAGAUCCGGAAGCCCUUACUGAACCUGUACAGUUUUUCACCCAGGAACUGUUCAGUGGCAGGAAAGCUGCCAGUACUACCUAAAGCAGACCUGUCCCUGCAGCUGGCAAAUGUUACCACUUACCUCAUUGGAGAAAAACUAAUGAGGCCUCUGCAAGACCUCUACAAUCUCAACAUACUUGCAGAGUACUAUAGAAUCAAAAGGAGGAUGAUGGAGAGCCCCUUUGAAUAUCAUGCUAUGUUAGUGGGGACCAAGCAUCUUGUGACUUUUGAUGGAAAAAUGUAUGAUUUGGCAUCAAAGUGCAGUGUACUUCUUGCCAAGGAUUUUGUUCACAGUGCUUUCACUGUGAUACUAAAUGAGGAAACUAGGAACUCAAGAUCCCUGUAUGUGGAGAUGAAUCAGACUGUGAUCACUAUCCACCCACAACUGAAGAUAUCCAAGAUGUAUAACUUCUCCUCUGUGGAAGAGAACUGCCAAGCCCUGGAUCAAUCCCUUGAAAACAGUACGAUGAAUUCAAGGCAAGGAACCAACAAAAUAGAAGUAUCUGAUCAGAAAGGAGUUUCUGUCUCUUGUGACUUUCAGUAUGAUCUCUGUACUGUCACUCUGGCUGGGUGGCACCAUGGUGUUUCAGCUGGGCUUUUUGGUACCAAUGAUAAUGAAGCUGGAAACGAAUGGAUGGUACCUAAUGGUUCCUUCACUGACAACGUGAAAGAGUUCACCCAGAGCUGGCAGGUGAAUAAGUGCAGUCUUGUACAGAAGAAAGAGAAGCCAUGUUCAAUUACAGCUAAGCAAAACAUCUGCAAAGUGUUCUUUGAAGAACCACAUUCACUUCUUAGGAACUGCUUCAAAGUUGUGGAGCCCAAGCCAUUCUACACCAUGUGUACACAGGACACCUGUGACUCCCCAGCCUUGGGGGCUGCCUGCAGCUUAGCAGCAGCUUUUGUUCAUUUGUGCAACAGGAAUUUUGUCCCUGUGCAAAUCCCUCCACAGUGCUCGAGCCAGUUCUGA